rnacentral:rRNA from 1 species
CAGUAGCCGCGGUAAUACGAAGGGGGCUAGCGUUGCUCGGAAUGACUGGGCGUAAAGGGCGCGUAGGCGGUGGCCAAAGUCAGGCGUGAAAUUCCUGGGCUCAACCUGGGGGCUGCGCUUGAUACUUGGUUGCUUGAGUGGGGAAGAGGGUCGUGGAAUUCCCAGUGUAGAGGUGAAAUGCGUAGAGAUCGGAAGGAACGUCUGUGGCGAAGGCGACUAUCUGGGCCAACACUGACACUGAGGCACGAAAGCGUGGGGAGCAAACAGGAUUAGAUACCCCGGUAGUCCCUGUCUCUUAUAC